rnacentral:rRNA from 1 species
UCAUUAAUGAAUUUGGAGGCUGUCGCUGGCUAGGUGAUUCUAGCAUGUGCA